rnacentral:ncRNA from 1 species
CACCGCCCGUCGCUCCUACCGAUUGAAUGGUCCGGUGAAGUGUUCGGAUUGCGGCGACGUGGGCGGUUCGCUGCCCGCGACGUCACAAAAAGUCCACUGAACCUUAUCAUUUAGAGGAAGGAGAAGUCGUAACAAGGUUUCUGUAGGUGAACCUGCGGAAG